rnacentral:rRNA from 1 species
GGGGCGCUACCUGCAGUCGAACGGUAACAGGAAACAGCUUGCUGUUUUGCUGACGAGUGGCGGACGGGUGAGUAAUGUCUGGGAAACUGCCUGAUGGAGGGGGAUAACUACUGGAAACGGUAGCUAAUACCGCAUAACGUCGCAAGACCAAAGAGGGGGACCUUCGGGCCUCUUGCCAUCGGAUGUGCCCAGAUGGGAUUAGCUAGUAGGUGGGGUAACGGCUCACCUAGGCGACGAUCCCUAGCUGGUCUGAGAGGAUGACCAGCCACACUGGAACUGAGACACGGUCCAGACUCCUACGGGAGGCAGCAGUGGGGAAUAUUGCACAAUGGGCGCAAGCCUGAUGCAGCCAUGCCGCGUGUAUGAAGAAGGCCUUCGGGUUGUAAAGUACUUUCAGCGGGGAGGAAGGGAGUAAAGUUAAUACCUUUGCUCAUUGACGUUACCCGCAGAAGAAGCACCGGCUAACUCCGUGCCAGCAGCCGCGGUAAUACGGAGGGUGCAAGCGUUAAUCGGAAUUACUGGGCGUAAAGCGCACGCAGGCGGUUUGUUAAGUCAGAUGUGAAAUCCCCGGGCUCAACCUGGGAACUGCAUCUGAUACUG